AUGGCCAGCACCUGGCAGGCAGCUGAACAAGGUACAGCUUCCUGCCCCAGAGGAGCAAAGUGCAAUGAAGGUUAUAAUCCGAGAGUGAGGAAGCCCUGUCUCUACUCCAGCGACAUUUCCGGCCAUGGGAUUCAUCUUCAUUCACGCAGUGCUAAGCACUCGGCUUUACGCUUCUGACCUUCACGAGCUUGGUCAGCGUGGAUGAGUUUCCACAAGUCUGAUUAACUCAAAGAUAUUGGCAAGAUCCUGCUUUGGGCCAAGGAAGGGUAAAUUCCAUGAGGAAAUGCUACCCCGAGGGACUCCCUGGAUAGGGCUAUCAGAUACAAAACAGGAUGCUCGGGUGUGUUUGCUGUUGUUGAGUAGCUCAGUCGAGUCCGACUCUGUGAGCUUGUGGACUGCAGCAGUCCAGGCUCCUCUGUCCUCCACUGUCUCCUGGAGUUUGCUCAGAUUCAUGUCCACCGAGUCACUGAUGCUACCAGACCAUCUCAUCCUCUGCCCCUGCCCCCUUCUCCGUCUGCCCUCAGUCCUUCCCAGCAUCAGGGUCUUUUCCAAUUUCAACUUCUGGUGCGACUCACUGAAAGGCUCUAAACCAGCGGCCUGGUCUGCGGGGCGGCCGCCCCCAGCUCAUCGGCGCCCCUGGCUCCUCUCGCUUCACCGCUCAUGUUUCUGCCCUCCCACCUGCUGCAUUUACACCGUUUUUUCUGUCAGCUCCCAAGUCUCAGGGCAGUUUCUGCCGGGCUGCCUCCAGGUUAGGGCAGCGUCUUAGGAACCACGCUGUCUCCACACAGGCUGCUGGGGAGACGGGACCCCAAGACCCCCAGGCCCAAGCUCUGGCACCCAGUUUGCUGGGACGGGGGCCGCAGGCUUUCUUUCCCCGGUGUUUGCUACACGAGGCAGCACCAGGGUCUAUCUUGACCUUGCACAUUUUUUUUUAAUAACUGCAGUGUAAGAUUUUACAAUCUUACAUAGUUCAUCUGCCCCAUUUUUCUGCCUGUUUAGAUUUUUUAAAUUCUGUCAUUUAGUAUAAUCAUUCUUUCUCAGCCUUAGGACACACACAUUUUUAAUAAACUUGCCUUUUGUAGCUUUAGUCAAGUUAUUCAUUAAAAUGCUGAACAGAUGGGGCCAAAAGGCAAGCUUUGCAGCAGGAUCGUCUAGGUGCUACUGUGCCUUUAAUUAGCAC
ensembl:lncRNA